UACAGAGGUCUCAAGCGUUGUUCGGAUUCAUUGGGCGUAAAGGGUGUGUAGGUGGCGCGGUAAGUCGGGUGUGAAAUUCGAUGGCUUAACUCCGAAACUGCAUUCGAUACUGCGGUGCUUGAGGACUGGAGAGGAGACUGGAAUUCAUGGUGUAGCGUGAAAUGCGUAGAGAUCAUAGGAAGACCAGUGGCGAAGGCGGGUCUCUGGACAGUUCCUGACACUGAGACGAAGGCCAGGGGAGCAAACGGG
rnacentral:rRNA from 1 species